rnacentral:rRNA from 1 species
AUUGAACGCUGGCGGCAUGCUUUACACAUGCAAGUCGAACGGUAACAGGUUAAGCUGACGAGUGGCGAACGGGUGAGUAAUGCAUCGGAACGUGCCCGAUCGUGGGGGAUAACGCAGCGAAAGCUGCGCUAAUACCGCAUACGAUCUGAGGAUGAAAGCGGGGGACCGUAAGGCCUCGCGCGAUCGGAGCGGCCGAUGUCAGAUUAGGUAGUUGGUGGGUAAAGGCUCACCAAGCCGACGAUCUGUAGCUGGUCUGAGAGGACGACCAGCCACACUGGGACUGAGACACGGCCCAGACUCCUACGGGAGGCAGCAGUGGGGAAUUUUGGACAAUGGGCGCAAGCCUGAUCCAGCAAUGCCGCGUGCAGGAAGAAGGCCUUCGGGUUGUAAACUGCUUUUGUUACGGAGCGAAAAGGCUCUCUCUAAUACAGGGGUUCAUGACGGUACCGUAAGAAUAAGCACCGGCUAACUACGUGCCAGCAGCCGG